UCAAAAUCUGCUGUUGAGUUUGGAGAGUCAGCCAAGAAAAUACCUCUUAAACAUUAUCGCAUAAUAUGACUUAUUAAAAGAUUUUUGCCCGCUAUUCCCUCCUUACUUUACCCCACUCAGGAAAGACCAUUAAUACUGAAUUUAAACAUUUACAGAGAUUGAAAGUGUUUGUGUUGGAGCUUUUUGUAGAGCAAGGCUUUUGGGUGUUUAGCAAACUGACCAGGAAGGUAAAAGUGAUCGCUGUUUUUCUUUUUAACUGUUUUUCUAAAAGACACAGCUCCACACAUAUGUAAACACCCACUCCCUUUUAGUAAUCCUUCAUAUUAUUUAUUCAACUUCAGUAUCGGAAGACGCCCCCUAUCCCCAGCAGUGAAUCAUUAUAAAAGAAGACACUUUAAUGUCAGCCAGAUAUUACAUUGGGGGCUUCUUAAUAAGCCAUUUGUGUUUGGACUAUCCUGGGCUAAAGUGCACCCGCUCUCCGUUGUCUUUUUCCUGGGCUUGUCUCAAGCCUCCUGCAUGCUACGAAAAACAGAUGCUAUCUCAGCUAUAUUACUUCUCAAAGCGCUCAUAUCCUCUCCCAUGUUAUUUUCUUUGAUCUGCUAGGCUCUCUGCUCUUACAUUUUUCUUUCCCCCCUCGUCUCACGCCCUCCUCCUCCUCCUCCACCUCCACCCCAAUCCCUCCACCCCCAUCCUCCAUGCUUCAUCCUCUAUCCUCUUUGCCAGUGACCAGAGACACAGCAGCCAGACUGGCUUGGGUUGGCUGUGGACGUUUGAAAUUCACUUCAUCUGUUCCCUGUCAUCAGAGGGCACAGGGUGCACGGUGGGUUGGACUUUUUAGAUUCUCCAUUUAAUAUGCCUUGACCAUCAGAGGAGGCUUCAGAGGAGGGCUCAUAUCAGGGCCGGGGUCAUUUCACAUCCAGUGAACAGGCCGUUUAAAUCAGCGACUUAAGCUGCAGCCUUCAUACUAAACACUUUUUUACUUAUUGACAGCAGUUCUUGCAUAAGCUCUUAAUUAUAAGUGAGUCAAUCCUGGGCUAUGUGCUUUAUUUAAACAAUGAAAAAAGUUUAUUUACAUCAGUUAAUCAAAUUAAAGCAUUUGUUUUUAGAACUCUGGUGGUUUCAGGAGUUUUUGUGAAAUACUAGGGCUUUUAAUUGUUUUUUUUUUUCACAUUUCUGAUUAAUUACAGAACUAAAGUAGUUUAUGUCGAUUAUUUGCAUUUUUAAAACUGCAUUGUCAUGCGUUUAAAUAGAGUUUCUAAACUGCACACCAUUUAAAAAUAAAGUUUUUAAUCUGACACAUGCAAUAGGAUGUAUUUAGUGAUUUUGACUUACAGAUUUAAUAUUUAAAAAUGUAAAAUUAGUGUUAAUGUGAUUUGCAGUUUAACUCUGUUAAUAAUAAUAUAACUGUCAUUACUCUGAGUAUUAAUUAUAGCAUUUGCACUCUUUUUGGAGUGUAACUGUAUUUACUCUCUUUGUUUCUUUUAUCCCCAUGUCUGUGGUGACUCACGCUCUCAUAUAAAAUGCUCUUUUGUGAUAUCAGUUAGCAUGGUUGCACCUGUAUGCUUAGCUCCUAUUGGCAGGGGGCUCAGACUGGGAGCUUUAAGUCAAUUGUUGUGAUAGUUAAAUUCCAUAUAACUCAAAGGACUUCAGACUCUACUGAGCUGGUUCUUUUAAGUGAAAUGGGUCAUUCAAAAGCACAGUGGUGUUGUGCAGCAGAAAGAUGUUUUGGUGGCCGAAUAAAGUGAAUAAAAAUAUCAACAUACUAAGUAAUUGCAUCAUGAUCAACUAGUAUGUUAAUGCUGACAGCCCUAAAGAUAUAAAAAUCUAAUGGCUCCAUAGAGUUAGUUAGCUUAAGUCAAAUGAUGGUCAAUUACAUUUUUAAAACUGUUUUCUUGUUUGUUUGAAAUUCUAAAGUAAUAAACAAUCAGAAACACAACACAGCAGCCUUUUAAUGCCUUUACCCUCAAUCACCCCAUCUCCCUCUAUGCUUAUCUGUAAGGUUAAAAAAAGUAUUUAACUCAGAAGUGUCUCUGACUGCAUGAGAACUCAGUUUAUUGAAUCAUUUUUAAGAAAGUUCAGAUAAUGGAGCUUAAAGUUGAUUAAAUGUGCAUCACAGCUUUCCCUUUCUAUCAAACUUUAACAAGUAAAUACUUUUUUCCUGCAAGUUUACAGUGCAAGGCAUGAAACUCAAAUUGUCUGUCUGCUCUUUCCUUUUUUUGUGGCAGCAUAAUGGAAACAUGUCUUAACAUUUUUCAGACAUGAACAACAAAUACUGUACCCUAAGUGAUGAAUCAUAGUUUAAUAUAUGCCUCAUAACUGUCAAAAAGCCUGGCAUCAUAAAAGAAAGACACACUUGUAUUUUUUUGUGAUAGAUUACAAGUGUUCAGAUUUUUGCAGACACUGAGCAUGAGCAAAAACUGAACAAAGUUUCAUAAGAAAGACAUUUCUUGUAUGUGGAAAAAUCUAAUUUUGCAGUUUUUACUGCAUAUUUGACACACCACAGUCUUGGCCUGUAUUUGGUUCACUUUCCAUUAGAGUUAGAAGUGUCAUAGAGUACAUUAGUACAUAUAUGUCAAAAUAGGAAUCACUGCAGUGUCAAAAACAGUUCAAACUCUGCAGUGAAAUUGACUCUUUCCUCGAGGUUGUAAAGCUUUUGCAGAUUAAUUCCCAAACUCUCUCAGUUGUGUUAAACUGAUUUUCCUGCACAAAGCCAUUUAAAGCAACAUCUGUGUGGAUAGGUGGCACUUAGAAACCGGGGAGUCUUUAGCUUUCUUAUGAGCAGCCAGGAGGGGGAAGCAUCCCUCUUUGCAAGUGUGCUCACAAGAGAAGGAAAGAAAAGUAAUUAAACAAACAAUUUACAAGGAAUCGUGUGUCUGCGUAUCCAAUCCAGCGUACUCGCUUUUGCUCUAAUACAUAAAGACAGAAAUGAAAAAAAAAAAGAUUGUUUGUUGUCUCCUCAGAGUGAUGGUAAAUGACACGUGUGUUUCAUUGCCCAUUCAUUUAACCUUCAGUGUGCCUAUGAAGAGAAAGGGAUUGAGAAACAAAUUAUGUGGUGUCAUUUAAUUAGGAGUUUUGCUGUGAGCAAUAAUCCUGUAAUUUUUUUUCCUUAUAACCUUUAACUACUUAAUGGAUUUGAGAAGCUAUUACCUUUCAAGAUUUCUGUUUUUAAUUAUUUGGAGUAUUGUUAGAGAUAUGAAAUGUCAAUCAUUCACCAGGAUUAAUGCUGAGGUUUAAUAUUAUUUACUUCGGGAUUGAAGCGAGAGGUUGACAGGAUUAGGGAAAUCACUAAUUUUAAGUAUUUUACAAACAAAAAGAAAAAAAAAUCCUCUUUUUGGCUUAUUUAGCUGAAAAUCAUUUAUCCUUAUGUGCACAUUUAUAUUUAACACAACCUCAUCUUAAAUCCAUGAGAGCCAGUUAUUUACAUAGAUAUUAACAUUAAAUUUAUAUUUAUGGCAAGACACAGUAAAUCUCAGAGUAAUAUUGGAAAAAUGGCUUCCUGAAUCUGUGAUUAAAUUAUAAUAAUGACUCAUUUUUAAUAUGUACAAACUCAAUUUAUAGUUUCCUCCUUUGGCGCUUAUACUGUAGGUGUGCAGCAUAAAAAAAAUAUAUAACCCGGGAGCUGUUCAUGUGUGUGUGUGUGUGUUGCACAGUCGAGGGCUUACCUCUCACCCUGAUCACGUUUAGGCAACUCUGUGAAAGUGGCAGACAGAGUUUGUUUGGUUUCCCCUGGAGGACAUCGCAGCUCUCUGCCAGCAGACCAACCCACGUGCGGUGACAUCAGGCCCGCCUGUGUGGAUACAAAUGUCUCCUUAAAUACAUGAUCCAUGUGAGGUGCGCUUGAUUUAUUUUGCCAGACACUCACAGGACCAUGAGGGCCAUGCGUGCUCAUUUUAAAUCAGUGCUUCUCACACAGGACCCUCCUGCGUACCUGGGUUCAAAUGAUAUAUUUCAUAUUCUGAAGUGGAUCAAAAAACAUUCAUCAGAAACACCUGAUGUAGCUUGUCUAGAGGGGGAUAGUUUCACCAGAGGAUCAGCAAAUGUCUUGGAGGAUAAAUGAAGCACACCCUGAGCAGUUCAAAUAUUCAAAACCUUAUUCAAAUAGAUGUUUUCACCCGGGUUUGACACGGCUCUUAGGCUGGCACAUUGGCUCCUCAGACCCCCCAUGGCACGGGGCAUGUAAUCAUCCUGAAAGUCUCUUUGGGUGUCUGCACCCUCAUAAAGCAGGAAAAUGGAUCGUGUGGCCCAGGAAGGGAAAAUGAAAGAAAAGGAGAAUGAAAUUACAGACCUGGCUGACUGCACAAAUCAUGCAUAUCAUGUUUUAUGGCUUGCCAGAAGAAUUCAACACCUGUGGAUCACCGUAGCUAUAAUUGUACACGAGUACACCGGGCUGGGAGUGGGGGCAGAGUUUGUGGUUUGUGUGUCACUGAAUAUGUGAGUGAGAGUGUGUGAGCCUCGUAGGUGUCUGUGGAUAUGCGAGUAUGUUUUUCUUGGCAUGGCCGAGCUUUAGAAACAGAGGGGAGAUGAUAAAAGAAAGUUACGGGAACGCCUGUUGUUCACUUCUCCGGUACAUCCUGGGUGAGCCACCCGCAGCCCACAGGGCGCGCUCGCAGAGGCUUCAUUUACCAUUGUAAUUACCCUGUUUAUUUACCCUACCUGCUUUUGGUGGUAAAACGGGGGCCAAUUCAUCAGAUUAGGACAAUUUGGCCUUGCUUUGGCUUUGCCAUUUACUUUAAUUAAAUGAGGCAAUCAGUGAAACAUAAAUCAAGAUCUGUGUGACCACUGGCUUUGUUUGAACCUGGACCUCUUUUACAAAGCUGACACACCCUCUGUUCAAACUUACAUUAGAUACAGCUGCUCUGCAGCUCCUCAGUAUGCAGAUUUACCUUUAAAAAAAGUGCAUUUGGGAUUUUUUUCAUGCAAACAUACUUUUUUAAAAAUCCUGUGCAUGUAUCGUUGAACUUAUUUCAGCUGUAAGUAUUUUUUUGACGCUUUAAAGGUAAAGUCACGUGCAUGAACGAAGGCUAAAAACUAAACGGGAUGACAGCACAGCAGAUCAAAAACUCUCCCCUCCCUCCUCUUCUCUCCUUUUUCUCCCUCCUCUCCACUGUGGAUGCUGAUGCUUGAGUCAAAUUGAUUACACCACUCCAUCUGCAUCACGACCGGCCUCCUCCUGUGUUUGCCGCCUCUGCCUACAGCACAGAGUUAGUGUACAAUUACAUAUAGUUUAAUAUAUCUGCCUGAGCACCUUUAAAUAAGCAUCACAAGUCCACAAGGUGAUUUGUCUUCCAGCCCCAUUACUCCAUUGUACAUCUUGAUAGCCAGGGAUCGCUCCUAGCUAUGUUUAAGCAUUAAAUAGUGUAUUAUUAUUUCACAUAAAUCACGCUGAGAUGUGAGGGGGGUAUUCAUAAAUUUUGCAUUUCUCACAGACAGUAUUUUAAAGCCUCUCUCCCUCUCUCUCUGCAGCUCUGAAUUUGGAGACUAAAGCAAUUCUGCUCCCUGCGCUUGAUAGUACAUUAAAGAAGGCAUAUCAGGGAGGUAUAUUCAAAACAACAUGUAAUGCAGUUUAGAUUAAGUUUGAGGCGCUCUAACACAUUCAUCAUGCACACUUUCCAUAAUAAGUACCCCUGUCUUUCUCGCUGAUGCAUCCACACACAUGCACCAUUACCACCAAGAGUACUGUAUUGUUAUUGUCAUGAAUAAUGGGGGGAAAUACUAAUAAAAGUCCAUUUAUCACAAUAUUUUCACUGCUAACUACAGCUACUGGAUCUCGUAUCUGUGCUACACGAUGCUCGGGGAAAAUUCAAUUUUAAGGUGAAUGUCUGCCAUCAGUAAGAGUGGCCCUUAACCCCUUACCCCAGCUCCCCACUCCCUCCUGAUAUUAGUCGUGUGUUUGUGCAAAACGUCUACAGAGGAAAUGACUUCACUCAGGAAACUGGAUGUCAGCUUUGCGCACGAGCGGGAGAGCUGACAGUGUUUUAGUCAGGCCGACAACACGUCCUUUUCUCGGCUCGCUCUCCACGCUCAUGGUAAAGCUGUAAAAAGUGACAAAGGAGGAAAUUGAACUUGGAGUUGUUAUGGUUACUCCAAGGACGCUUUGCAGAUUUGUUUCUAUUUCCCGUCUCCGGCUUUGUUUUCUGAUUGGUGGAGAGGUCGUCGGGUAAAACCAGGAGGUCACCGAAACUGUAAAGUGAUGUGUUUAGAGUGGAACUUUUCACUUUCUCCUGUUGCUUUUCAUUCAGACUUUGCCUGAUGUGUUUAUGUAAACUAAUAAGAGUACCUUGUGAUUGUCUGCAGUCGAAAAUAUUACCAAAACAUUACCUUGACCAUCCUGUGUUUCUUCAAGUCGAUGAAAAUCAAACCAAAAAUACAUCACUUCAAACAAUGCAAACGUCUGCUAUGAUUGACUUUAGCGAUUUCAUGCUCACAUUGCAACCGUACACCACAAUUAAACCUAAUUUUCACUUUUAAAACACGCUUAUCAUUUCCUACACAUUAUAAUUAUAUGACCCACUGGCCCGGGGGGGCUUUAGUGUUGCAGCAAAAUCAGUAAAAAAAAUCUUGUAAAAGUCCUCGCAAAUUGGAAAUUGACGAGAUGCCAGGACAGUAAGUUGAGGAUUGAGAGGAGGGGAGCGGAGGAGAAAGAAAAAAAAAUGUCUUUGAACUAGUUUUUGCUUGCAGAAAAAAAUAUCGCUCCUGGGUUGAUAUUCUUUCUGAAGUGUUUCAUGGCGAUGCGAAUUAAGAAGUAAAGUGCAGAGCCAAAUGAUUCAGUGAAUAGACGGCACACACCCACAGGUAUUCUGUUCACAUGACAUCACCCCUGUGUUAAAUUGACAACUUCAUAUUCUUUUAACUUUUUAGGUGCGAGCAAAGAAGAAUUUGAGAGAUAAAUCAACGAUAGAGAGCGGUGUUAUGGAGGACAUUUGUAUUAUGAAUGUGGAUUGAUUAAUAGUUAUUUGGUCGAUUUUUUUUCCCACUCUCUCUCUGUCUCUACCUCUCCCUUUAUUACUCAGAAGAAUGUGUCUUCUGACCUUGACAUGUGCAGGCUGGCUGCAUGUUUCCCUCACCUCAGCUCAUGAACUGGAAACUUUGCUCCUGUCAUCCCUCUAUCUCUUUCUGUCUCUGUCUUGUGAUCACUCUGCCUCCUCAGCUUACACACAGAGCGCACACAGAGCAGCAAUACCUGGGAGGAUAAAUGCUCGGUUAAAUUGAAUAAACAUAAUCCAGACAUGCUCCAUUCCUGCCUGUCUGUCAGGGAGAACUUACUCAGGGGUCCCUGAUUCCAUCAGCCGAGGAGGCGCACAAACAAACGCAAAAGAUUAGAUGUCAGCUGAAAGGCCGGUGUUAGAAAAAGGAUUAUUCACUUCUGUUGUGAUAAAGAAAAUUUUCAUCAAACAUCUGAUAAUCUGUGAUUUUACUGAGCCGGUUUUAUUGCUUCCUUUGUUAUCUUGUGAUGACAGAUAGCUUACGUUCACACAAGUGUUUCAUCUGUUUCUGUUUGCUUCUGCUCCAGAGAAAGGCAAAUACAACACAGUCAGAGCUCAAAAGUGCAAGUACAUCACCCAACUUCAGCCCUGCAUCUUUUUUUUUUUUUUUUUGGCAGCUCUCUGCGUGUUUGGCGAAUGUCUAAAAAAAUUGCAUAAACAUACAAAUUAAAGAGUAACCCCCUCCAUCUUUGUUCAUGCUCCCUGCGUUGCCAUGUCCUCUUAUGUUAAAACAAAGCAUGUGCCUGUCAAUCAUAUAACCAUAGGCGCUCUGGGUGGGGCUGGAUCGCGCUCUUUUGAAGUGAACCUGUCAUGGGAAAUCUGCAUCACUGGGGCUCACUUCAAUCACAAGCACAAGAUUAAUUGUUCGUGGUGCACCACUUCAAACACCUUUAACCAUUACGCAUUACGGGAUGAACCUUUGCAAGGCCUUUCGUCACCUAUAUAUACUCACACCUGCACCCACACACACGUUAAACAAGGAGGGUAAAUUCCUGUCUGUCUAUAAAAACACACACAUGCAGACACAUACAUCCUUAUGCUUCCUAAAACACAAAAAGUUCGCAAAUAUUUACAUACGCAGCUGCACAGAGGUAUAUUUCAAGAUGUAUAAAUUGACAAUUUAAUGUGCAUUGACAAGUUACACCCCCUCUGCCCUCCAAAUACUAACACACACAUAUACACACAAACACACAAGCAUGCAAAGACUCCACACAGACUGCAGCAACACAACAUUAAGCGGUUUUCUCUUCUCUGUUAUCUCCAGCUUCCUUUUUGCCCUUUGGUUAAACAUUCUCUUGGCAUGCAUGAUCUCAUUUAACUUUGAUUUCCUCUUUUUCCAGGACGGCAUCCUCGGUGGUUCCAAUUUCCAGCCCAUUCCCCAAUUUUCAACCCCAAUGACAGACAACACAUGCUUGAAUGGCUGUUCGGCUAAAGGAGGGAGUUGGUAAGUGAUGAUUUUAAAUGCUGUUUAAGAUAAAAAGGGGAGUUUAGAGCAGAUAAGGGUUCGUAUGAGUUAGUGAGCAGGAAGCUGGGAGAUGUUGCUGCUCUGAAUGUGCCAAUUCAGAAGCUGCUCUCCACCGAUUGUGAUUUAUGUCACUGAGCUUUAGGAAACACUGCUGCAGAUUACAGGCAGGAGAAGUGAACGUUUGACUUCUCUGAAACAGUAAUUAUUCUCAUACUGUACGCAUUUACAAAGAGCUCGUGAUUUUUUAUCCAUAAACAAUAACAAAAUAAAUGUCAAGUAAGUCUUUUGCCUUCAUUUAUCAUUCUGCAUAUUUAUACUCUUACUUUGAAGUCGUCUCACAUGACUUUUUGUACAUAAACUUUUAAUUAACUGUUUAUAUUUGUAUUGUUUUCUUAUAAUAAUAUUGUUUCUUAACAGUAGGAGUUCGGUUGUUUUCUUGUUGAGUGUUUUUGAGUUUUUCUAGGUACUUUUUUCUGAACUGAAAAUCUUAAAAGAAUUGCUUGAAUUUAAAAACUGAUUAAACACCAACUAAAACUCUGAUUCUGAUUAUUAUUUUAAUUAUAAAUAAAGUUUUUUUGUUCUUUAAACUAAACCCGUAAAAUAUAUUUAUUAAAAUCACUGUUUGUAAAUCAAAUGAAUUAAAAAAAUUCCUUGUCUUGAGUGUUUUCUAAAAACUUUUUUACUCGUCCAACAUGUUUAAAUUUUACUUUUCUAUUGGCUUUGUGAAUUAUUUAUUUUGACCUCCUUAUGCAAAAAUCAGAGUAAAUAAACAAGCUUUAGGUAAAAAAGUGUAAAAUAUAAUAAUUUCUUCAGGGCUGUUAAUUAACAUGGAAGUACUUCUGUUUUUAACUUCUAUGUUAAACAUGAUUUUGCGUAUUUAAUCUCAGGUGUCACACAUUUCCAAAGUUUUGUAUUUCUGUAGUUCUUUCUUUAAAGUUUUUCCCUUUACAACAGCUGUGUUUUCCUCUUGUAAACAUAAAUAAAGUUCCUUCUUCCUCUGUUCAAGUUCCCAAAAAUAAAACUUUGAAUCCAGAA
rnacentral:lncRNA from 1 species